rnacentral:misc_RNA from 1 species
UUGCCUAGGCAAGAUACACAGUGGUCUCUAACUUAUUGAAACGUAAAAGCAAAGCACAAAUUAAAAAUAACCAAGUGAUCAAAUGCCUCUAUUGAUUAUCUUUUCAAUGGCUUGGAGAGACUGAAUGGCCGACUGAAUGUAGAAGCUAAGAGCACCAGCGAUGGGGGCAAGGGGAUUGGCAGCCAGUUCUUCCUUCACAUCAUCAUCCACUGAGGGCAGUGGCUUGCUGGGAUCCUCGUCAAACGACUUGGCUUGCUCAAGGUAUUUGUCCAUACGAGGAGUGGAAAAUAGUCGCAGGCUUUCCACAUCACCUCUUGAAGCGAAACGCUGGCGAUCAUGGGAAGUCUCAGAGGAGAGUGCAAAAGGACGCCCUUGCUUAUUGUAGAUUUCUUGUGAUUUCAUCAAUUUCAAGAGCUGUUGCAGCUCGGACCUCAGCAUCUCAAUCAAUGGGUUAGAUUCAUCAUCCAGAUCCUCCAGAGAGUUCUG